GAUGAACGCUGACAGAAUGCUUAACACAUGCAAGUCUUUGGCGAAGCUGUGCUUGCACAGCCUAGCCAAGGCGGACGGGUGAGUAACGCGUAAGGAACUUGCCCUGCAGUCAGGGAUAACAGACGGAAACGACUGAUAAGACCUGGUAAAGUCAGGCGGACUCAUGUCCAGCCUGAUGAAAAGAGAUGCUGCAGGAGAGCCUUGCGCCCUAUUAGCUUGUUGGUGGGGUAACGGCCCACCAAGGCGAUGAUAGGUAGCCGGCCUGAGAGGGUGGACGGCCACAAGGGGACUGAGAUACGGCCCUUACUCCUACGGGAGGCAGCAGUGGGGAAUAUUGGACAAUGGGGGCAACCCUGAUCCAGCAAUUCUGUGUGCACGAUGAAGGUUUUCGGAUUGUAAAGUGCUUUCACCAGGGAAGAAAAAAAUGACGGUACCUGCAGAAGAAGCGACGGCUAAAUACGU
rnacentral:rRNA from 1 species